UUGCAACCAUGUAGUGGUUGAU
rnacentral:snRNA from 1 species